UACGGAGGGGGCUAGCGUUGUUCGGAAUUACUGGGCGUAAAGCGCACGUAGGCGGCUUUGUAAGUUAGAGGUGAAAGCCUGGAGCUCAACUCCAGAAUUGCCUUUAAGACUGCAUCGCUUGAAUCGCGGAGAGGUGAGUGGAAUUCCGAGUGUAGAGGUGAAAUUCGUAGAUAUUCGGAAGAACACCAGUGGCGAAGGCGACUCACUGGACAUGUAUUGACGCUGAGGUGCGAAAGCGUGGGGAGCAAACAGG
rnacentral:rRNA from 1 species